UCAGCUUCUCCACACCCCAACGCUAUGCUCCUCUCACACCCUCCAUCAUACUUCCCCUUAUCCCAAUCUCUCUGUGAUCUUGGUUUAAACCCUUCCAAGCAACGGCAAACCGAGUGGCAAUGGAAUAUCUCACAGGUU